UGGACGGAAGGCGGGGAGGGGCUGCCUUACCUCAGCCGCUUGCCGUCCGACGCCCGGCCUAGGGUUCCGUCCGAGCGGGUGGAGAAGGAGGAGGAGGAGGAGGAGGGUCCGGCCAUCAGUUCCCACCCUCCCUCUUCAAAGGUUUAGGGUAAGUAGCAAAGGGGGGGGGGGAAUCCACGUGAAGCAAAACAAAUGCUCGAUUAAAAUGUGGGGAAUGAGAAAAAUUAAAACCUGCACAUCUUGUGUAACUUAAACACCAA